rnacentral:lncRNA from 1 species
AGAAAAUUUCUUAUUUGACACUAGAAAAGAUGGCAUAUCCUUAUUUGACACUGAAACUUGAAUUUUUUCCUGUGUCCUCCAAACGUGUUUUUCUUUCGUAUCUGUCAUUCAAUUUAUUUCCCUGUCCUCCAAUCGUGUUUUUCUUUCAUAUCUGACAUUCAAAUUCUUUCCUAUCUGUUUUCUAUCUAUCCUCCAAUCGAGUUUUUCAUCUGACAUUUCCAUAUCUGCUAAUGCGGUUAAGUCCUAAGAGAAACGAUCAAGUUCCUCCGUUUCCUUUUCCUCUAAGGG